rnacentral:tRNA from 1 species
UCCUUGGUGGUCCAGUGGCUAAGACUCUGUGCUCCCAAUGCAGGAGGCCCAGGUUCAAUCCCUGGUCAUGGAA